rnacentral:rRNA from 1 species
CCUACGGGAGGCAGCAGUGGGGAAUAUUGGGCAAUGGGCGCAAGCCUGACCCAGCAACGCCGCGUGAAGGAAGAAGGCUUUCGGGUUGUAAACUUCUUUUCUCAGGGACGAAGCAAGUGACGGUACCUGAGGAAUAAGCCACGGCUAACUACGUGCCAGCCGCCGCGGUAAUACGUAGGUGGCAAGCGUUAUCCGGAUUUACUGGGUGUAAAGGGCGUGUAGGCGGGAAAGCAAGUCAGAUGUGAAAACCAUGGGCUCAACCUGUGGCCUGCAUUUGAAACUGGUUUUCUUGAGUACGGGAGAGGCAGACGGAAUUCGUAGUGUAGCGGUGAAAUGCGUAGAUAUUAGGAGGAACAUCAGGUGCGAAGGCGACUAUCUGGACAGCAACUGACACUGAGGCACGAAAGCGUGGGGAGCAAACAGGAUUAGAUACCCUUGUAGUC